rnacentral:rRNA from 1 species
AUGCCUUACACAUGCAAGUCGAACGGCAGCACGGGGCGAACCUGGUGGCGAGUGGCGAACGGGUGAGUAAUGCAUCGGAACGUGCCAUUGAGUGGGGGGUAACGUAGCGAAAGUUACGCUAAUACCGCAUAUUCUGUGAGCAGGAAAGCAGGGGGAUCGCAAGACCUUGCGCUCUUUGAGCGGCCGAUGUCAGAUUAGCUAGUUGGUGAGGUAACGGCUUACCAAGGCGACGAUCUGUAGCGGGUCUGAGAGGAUGAUCCGCCACACUGGAACUGAGACACGGUCCAGACUCCUACGGGAGGCAGCAGUGGGGAAUUUUGGACAAUGGGGGCAACCCUGAUCCAGCCAUGCCGCGUGAGUGAAGAAGGCCUUCGGGUUGUAAAGCUCUUUCGGCCGGGAAGAAAUCGCAUGGGUUAAUACCCUGUGUGGAUGACGGUACCGGCAUAAGAAGCACCGGCUAACUACGUG